rnacentral:rRNA from 1 species
GGAAUCUUCCACAAUGGGCGCAAGCCUGAUGGAGCAACGCCGCGUGAGUGAAGAAGGUCUUCGGAUCGUAAAACUCUGUUGUUAGAGAAGAACACGAGUGAGAGUAACUGUUCAUUCGAUGACGGUAUCUAACCAGCAAGUCACGGCUAACUACGUGCCUG